CUACCAUGCAGCUUGCAGGGGCAUCAUGUAAUAAUAGCAAUAUUAUUUGAUGGCGACCAGCGCACGGGAUGCGUUAACACGCUAUGCAAUCUGCCUCGUACUUGGGCAUAACUCCGAGAAAUCGGUGCUAAUUCCCAAUAACACUAUGAAGUGGCAUCUCUUUAUAGUUAAAGCUCCGGCGGUACGAGAUGAGCAUGCGCCCAAUUAGCUAGUUGGUGAGGUAAUGGCUCACCAAGGCUACGAUUGGUAGGGGUUCUGAGAGGAUGAUCCCCCACACUGGUACUGAGACACGGACCAGACUCCUACGGGAGGCAGCAGUGAGGAAUAUUGCGCAAUGGACGACAGUCUGACGCAGCCAUGCCGCGUGAAGGAUGAAGGCCCUAUGGGUUGUAAACUUC
rnacentral:rRNA from 1 species